rnacentral:rRNA from 1 species
AUUGAACGCUGGCGGCAGGCCUAACACAUGCAAGUCGAGCGGUAGCACAGAGAGCUUGCUCUCGGGUGACGAGCGGCGGACGGGUGAGUAAUGUCUGGGAAACUGCCUGAUGGAGGGGGAUAACUACUGGAAACGGUAGCUAAUACCGCAUAACGUCGCAAGACCAAAGAGGGGGACCUUUGGGCCUCUCGCCAUCAGAUGUGCCCAGAUGGGAGUAGCUAGUAGGUGGGGUAACGGCUCACCUAGGCGACGAUCCCUAGCUGGUCUGAGAGGAUGACCAGCCACACUGGAACUGAGACACGGUCCAGACUCCUACGGGAGGCAGCAGUGGGGAAUAUUGCACAAUGGGCGCAAGCCUGAUGCAGCCAUGCCGCGUGUAUGAAGAAGGCCUUCGGGUUGUAAAGUACUUUCAGCGGGGAGGAAGGUGUUGAGGUUAAUAACCUCAGCAAUUGACGUUACCCGCAGAAGAAGCACCGGCUAACUCCGUGCCAGCCGCCGCGGUAA